UAUGGUGGCUAUUCCGAGGGUGAUCACCUCUUCCCAUCCCGAACAGAGCAGUUAAGCCCCUCAUGGCCAAUGGUACUGCAGCCGCGUGCUGUGGGAGAGUAGGUAACUGCCAUAA
rnacentral:rRNA from 1 species